rnacentral:snoRNA from 1 species
AACCCAUGAUGAGGACACUUUCUCAAAAUAUCCUUAUAUCUCUCCCAUGCAUCAUAUAAUGUCUCCAACUCAAUUUGAGAAAAAGAAAAGAUUUCAUUCCUCAACUU